rnacentral:lncRNA from 1 species
UUGGGAAUUUUUUGUAUAGAAGUUCAGUUAUAUUAUCAUAACAUUUCUUAGUAAAUCUCAUAAUGAAUUGGAUUAUUAUUGCUAAUUAGCUUACCUAGUGGUUUGGGUUAGGUACAUCACGGCUAUUUGGAUUUUGGGUCGUGACAAAGUUGGUAUCAGAGCUCUAGGUUCAUAGGUUCUACGAUUCAUGCGCAAGUGUCUAGUAGAAUCUUGAAGAUAGGUAUGAUGAUGUUCGUACCUACCAUCGAGAGGCUACAUGGCAUUUAGGAUAAACUUCCCAUCUUUCUUUCCUUAUCGUGCGACAUUGAUUCAACUUGAAGUGUAACUCUUUGAAUUUCUUCCACUCACUCAUAUGCGUAUAUGAGCGCUCGGUAUCAACUAUGCAUCGACAACUUGUGAUUCUAUGGAUGAGGUGUGAGAUGUGACUUCUGUGUGCUAAUGAUAGGCCAGUCUGGAGGACUUGAGGCCGAGUUUUGACUGUAGCUUGAGCACAAGGAUUUCGACUAUGUGAGCACAUGGUGUUGGACUUCUAUGUCAUGUGGUGUACCUAUGAGUGGGACUGGUGGCCCGGUGAGUGGUUGGAUGACUAUAUGAUGAGUAUGAUGUGUUCACAUAGUUUGAAUGUGACAAGGAGAGUUUACUUGAGAUGUAAAAGGACUAUUAGGUGGUUGAUUUUUGUCUUGAUGUGAUGUACACUCUCGAGUUAUGAGUGUAUUAAAGGAUCUUUCAUGAUGUUUAAUUGUGGAACGAAUUAGAUUCUCAUGUCAUGUUGAUGAGUUCAAAAUCAGGAAGAUUAAGUGAUUGCGUAGUAGUUGUGGUUGUAAAAGGGAAUAUAGAGAUGUCACUUUGAUGCAAAAUAGGUGGGUUACCAUCUGAGAGGUAAUUUAUAGAUGUGUGAUCCUUAUGAUGUUGUGUGGAGCUUCUUUUCUACCAGUGGGUAUAUGUAUUGCGAUUUGAGUUUGGAUUGGUUGAGAAAGUUGACCUGUCCACCACGAGGAUGAAUGCGAGCUUAGCAGAUGAUUUGAGGUAUUAUGUGAUUUGCGUUACAUGAGUUUUUGAAGGAUUUAGUUGAAUCUCACUAUGGUAUUAUGGCAGUAAUGGGGUAUGGUUAUUGUAAGUUAUCAGAUGUUUUAUUCCAUCGCUUUGAGCCAAGUGGGGAGCCUGCUAUUGACGAGUUGAUUACAUGGUUAUGUGUUAUAUUGGUUUCGGUCUGAGGCAUACUUGUGGAUCGGUUAUGACUUGCAGAUCUUUGUUUGGAGGAUGACUUAAUAUGCAACGAAAUUUCUGGAUGCAUGAUGUAUUACGCUUUAUGGGUAUAUAGGAAUAAUGGAAUGAUUGAGUUGUUAUUCGCGAAGGAUGUAGUGCGCAUAGAGUAGGAAUUUGAUCGGUUGCUUAGAGGUAUGGAUUACUUCUUUGGGUGUCGUCGUGCUAAUGGGGCACAGAUCGUUCGACCCGUAUGGGUGGUGCAAUAGAGAUUUGAGCAGAGUGGAUUACUCUCGAGAAGGUUCUAAUGGAUUCAGGAGUUAUAUGUAGCAAUUAGGAAUUUUUAGGACUUGCAUAUGGCUGGAAUUUGAGAUUUACAUUGGAUGGUGUCGGGACUUGCGAUAUUUCUGUAUCACGAUGGAUUCUACAUUUCAGUAUCAUAAAGGUAAAAGAAACAACUUUAAAUUGAUAGAGGGUCUCUUCAGAGUGUGUGUCUUGGUUGUUGUACUUUUGGGGUGCUUAUGAGGGGAUACAGUAGCUUAUGGGCCUCAUAAUGCUUAUAUUUCUCUACCGAAAUUGUAAAUAUUGAUAAUUUUCACUAACUGGGUACCACGUACCCUUCUUCACCUUGCUUCUUUUACUUGUUGAAAGUUGUUUCUACAUUCUGAUUCUCUUAUUACUUUUUACCAUAUAGGUGGAUAGAUAUUCAUGCCUUAGGGUUCUUUAUCAAGAAUCUUACACGUCUUAAUACACAUAUGAUCUGCUGAAUACCUUACAUUUACUUACCGUAAACAUGAGGGAAACUCGAGUUCUUCUGACUUAACUCUUUUACAGCCACAUUCAAUCUCUUACCAACUGUCUUUCUAGAUGUAUGUUUCGUUGUAUUACGAAUAAAAUAAAAGUUAGGAGUUUGAAUCUUACAAUUGAGCGCUACCACACGAUCUAGAGUAAUAAGAAAGAGUGAAAGUCCUAAAUGCCCUACAGGCUCCUACUUAUAAGUGUAGUGCACAACACACCCAUAAACAAAACUCUACUAGACACAACUUGUAGACUCUUUAGAAUGGAACUACUUUGAUACAGAGUUUGUCAUGCCCCAAACCUGGAAGAGGCGUGGCCGGCACCCGGUGCCAUACUCGGCCCGAGCAUACCUCUCUGUAACUGUGAAGUUUGUAGGGGUAACACUCAACUUAGGCUGAUGAAAACAUAUUCUGAAUAAUCUGAAAAUAACUCUACAACCAACAAUACCAAACUAAACAUCUACAUAGGGCUAGUAAAGCCACAAUAUUGAUAUAAAAAACAUAUAGGACUCGUCUACAAGCCUCUAGGGAUGACUGAACUGUAUCAUGGUUGGGAUAGGGCCUCGACCUACCCAUCAAACCUGUAUAUAUAAAAUGGACUCCAAGGUAUAAAUCUGGUAACUCUGAGGAAGUGGAGCUUACUAACUAAGGUGAUGUUUGACUUUGUCUACUCAGAAGGUCUGUCCAACUGUCUAUUAGGACCUGCAACCAUAAAAUGCAGUGUCCCCAACAAAAGGGACAUCAAUACGAAAUAAUGUAUCGAGUAUGUAAGGCAACAAAAUAACUGAAAACUGAAACUGAACUGAUAAUAUAACAACUGAAUGUACCUGGGAGUUGAAUAUUAUUGAAGAUAUGCUUACCUCCUGAUACUGACUCAUCUCUCUCAAUAUAGUAAUUAAAAUAGAUGUCCGGCCCUAAGGCUCGAUAUGUGUAACUGCUCUGCCUUAGUAUGCUCGCACAUAGGCACUCGGUCAUACUAGGCUCUGUGUCUCGGCCAUUCUGGGCUUACUCAUAGGCGCUCGGCCACAAUAGGCUCGGUAUAUAACUUUCCAUCUUAUGUAAGAUUGCUUAAUAGGGGCCUGCUAACCGAUUAUAGCUCGGUGGUGGUGAAAAUACUAUAAUACUUUAUAUAUUAAACUCUCUGCUAUCCUGGCUGAAAGAAGACAAAACUUAACUGAAUAUAAAGUCACGAUAAGGGAGAAUACUGUAGCUUAUGAGACUAGAAUAAUGUACAUAUAUUCAGGAAUAAGAACUUCUCUUUAUGCCUCAUUAUCAAAUGCAUGUAGUUACGAGAUCAUGCCAAAAUGAAGGAAAGCUUUAUCCUUAACAUACCUUAACUCCGUUGAUUCCUUAAUACCUUCCAAGAAAUUCUUCAAACAACUCAACUCAAUCUACCAAAGUAUAAGGAUAUUCAAAAUCAGUGCUGAGUAGAGGCUAACUCCACAACCUAAACUAGUAGCUUGUUUACGUAAUUUGGGAAGCAUCUCCCCUAUAAAAAGGCCCUCGUGCAAUACUAAAUACCAAAAACAACAAUAAAACAACAGGAACAACAUAUAUUCAUCAUUUUCCAACCUUAUCGCCAUCAUAAUAUACCACAAAACAGCCCAGACACCCUAAUCAAUUCACACAUAAAACGAUAGCCAAAGUAGUGUCAAACAACCUAAAAAAUGUAAUGACGAAUGAUCAGCCCACCAUUAUAUCAUUAUGUGGUGUUUAUCCAAACCUUUUCUACUCAAAAAAUUCAUAAAACAUCAGCACAAGAGGCCAACAUGAGUAGACUACAAAACAGUCCACUAAAUGUGCAAUAAAUCGACCUCACGGCUUCUGAUCACCGUAUCGUGAGUUCUAAUUAUUACGAAACAAAUUUAUGAACCUUUAUUGACAUUUAAAAGAUUAAAUACAUAAAGUAGGCAUUUUCUUAACUAUGAAGUACGUUCCAAAACUCAAACUACAAAGAAACAAAGAGGCGAUAUAGCGAUACUUACGUCGUAGGGAUUGUUCUACUGUUAUCACUUCUUGAUUUCAUACCCAUGAUGUUAAUCUUCUUUGGAACCCUUGUAGAGAGCUUAAGGUUAAGUUUUUGGGGGUUCUCUGGUCGUGUUCUAUGAAAAAUUAAGAGAAAUACGAUUUAAAACCCUAUAUAUAUAUACUUACUUUUGAAAAGUCAAUGAGGUGCUAGCUUGGCACCCUAGCAUUGGCCCUUCUUCCGAUGCUUAUAUCUUUUUUUCCAGAUGUUGUAUGAAUGAACGUUAAGAGUAUUAGAAACUAAAUUCCAAUACCUUUAAUUUGAUAUAUAAUAUAUCCCAAAAAGACCUCAUAUAACACAUGAAAUCUAAUACUCAAAAAGCUUCAGUGACAUACCUACGUGUCACCUAUGUGGUCUGUGCAGUCUCGUGAAAUUGCACAUAUCUCUCUACUUCGAUGUCGUAUUGAUAAACAGUUUAAUGUGUUAGAAACUAGACUCAUAAAUCAUCUAUUUGAUAUAUGGAUCAUCCCGUAGUUCCAAGUACAUUGGGAGAAAUGCUCCUUAUCAUUUUGAGCACCCUAGUCUCACCCCAAUAGUACAUGUUAUAAUAUUCUCAACUUGUCAACUUUUGAUGAAACUUAUUUUUUUUAAUUGGUUUAGCUCCUAAGCCUUCCAAACCUCUUAGUACUUGCAGUCAAUGAUCUUAAAUAUUUGUAACCUCCAAGUUAACAUGAUUAACCUAUUUAUGUACUUUCAAAGAUGAUCUCUAGUUACCGUUAAAAUGGUUAUAACAAUUAAAUUUGUUGAUGGGACUCUAAAAAUACGUGAUCUAUUUUUAUGCUAGUUUUUUAAGAAGUUGAUGCUAGAUAUGUGAGACUUAGAGGCAAAAUAAAGUUAAGGAGAGAGCUGUAAUCAAACCGAUAGGUCAGUUGUUCGGGGCCUCGGGAUUGUCAAUUCUGGGCUUCGAGGUCGAUCCCGGAGCUCGAUUAUGAGCUAUCGAAGGCAGUUGCUAUAUGACUAACAGUUAUAAUAAAAUCAAUGGAGGCUCUUUAUGGCUAGUGAUAAGCAAUAAAUGAAGAACAAGUAAGAAGACAAUAAAUGGAGGCAAUAAUAUUGAGAGAAUAUGCUAGAGAGCAAAGAGAAAGUUCUUGUAUAUUUCGUGUUGAGUAGCUGAAGCAAUAGAGAGUUUACAAAAUGUCAAGGACCCCCUUUAUAUAGGAGGGGAAUUCCAACAUAGUACAAAAGCAUUAAUUACAAAAAUAGGGGAAUGGGACAACUAGAUGGCACCAGGCUCUGCCAGUACUAGCUGCAUGCCUAGGGAACUCCCCAUUCCCAUCAUGACUGCGGCCAACAUUGUCGUUAGGUCGGGCGCCAACGAACCUCGAGGGAGGGAGCUUGACCACAGACUCGCAGCCUCGAGGUCUCGAGAUGAUUUCCUGAAAUGCCUUAAUUACGAGAAAUUGGACCCUCCAAUUUCGUCGUAUACAGAUAGUCUCCGCGUUUCCUAGAACGAAGUAAUAUGAAACGAUUUUGAGCCUCCGUUCUGAGGACAUAACCACCAUGACAUCAACCUAUUAGAGCAUUAAAUGCCAUGCCCCAAAAAAUCGUGCAAGGGUCGCCGUCAAAUGCAACUAUCGAGAAACUCACGAACCGCUAUUGGUCGUCCCUUCCGCUGCCCAUAUGGUUCCUAUAAAUAUAUCAACCUUUUGAUAAUCCUUAUUUUCCCAACAUAUUCAAAUUCGCGAAUCCAGACCCAUCUCUUUUUACAUUCUUCCUUCUUACUUUCUUAGAGAAAAUUUUACCAUCGCAAUGGCCAGAACUUCUAGGACGGUUCCUCGUCGAAAUGAAGUCGCCUAUUCAUCUAGGCCGUCUAAGGAGAAAACAAAAGUGAUACCCACCCUGGGACAAUGUACUCCCCCCGAUAUUGACAUGUCGAAAGAUUAUACAAUCGGAAAACCCCCUGCUACACCGGGCCGAUGCGAACACGUGUCGCGGUACGUCAGUGUCGUGACCGAUGUAGGUACGGUAAAAAGGGACUACCGAUGGAGGAAGGCAGUGGAGGUGGAGAUUCCCAGCCCUGAUGAGAAUAUAACGGACUACAAAGCUGGUUUCCUCCACGUAUAUCCUUAUCCCUUUACUUUGGGUCCUGGCGAUCCUUCUGGAUCCCCUCCUCCGGAGAUAGAUUCGGUCAUCCUUGACUUUUGCGAUAAGCAUCAGGUGACGCUCGGUCAAAUCUAUCCCUCUUUUUGGAGGAUAGUCUGGAUGCUCCGUUAUUUUAUUGACAAGGUUAGGGACGAGACCUUUACCCUGAAUCACUUGAUCAAGAUGUACAUCCCUCGAUUCUAUCGAGGCUUGAUUAGGCUUCAUCAUCAAUCCAAGAAAUCAUUUUUCUCGAGCACCGACGAGGAAAAAGAUCGGGGAUGGAUGAGUAGGUUCGUCCGAGUUAAAACCCUGGACAUCAUUCCAACCGGGAGGAUGCCUUUCCCGAAGAGGUGGAACAUGCAACGUAAUCAUUGUUUCCCUCGGACAUAUUUUUUGACCCUCUUUCCUUUCUUCCAAAAAAGAUGACCUCCUUUUGUUUUCUGCAGUUGCCGCUUGGUAUCCUGAAGCGGUCUUGGAUCUACCGGGGUGGAUUGGGCGGUUGGACAACAAGUUUCCGUAUCUUGCCUGAUUUGGACCGACUUGGCCAAGACGUAGUGGGUGGACAAGAGCCAUGGUAAAGUUUCUCUUGUCGCCUACGUCUUAACCCGACGUUUUUUCCUGUACCUUCUUGUGCUGAUAAGUUGUGGCCUCUAUGCUUGCGCAGGCCUUGGCAAGAAUGUGAUGAUGAGACCACCCCCUGGAGGAGGGAUGGAGGUUUCGGAGCCUAUCAAGGGUAAUAAAAGGAAAGGCAAGGAGGCUGUCGACCCUUAUGUGAUGAAGAAACCUAAGCCACACAGUCCUAGAACCGCCAUUGGGACCUCAGCUUCUGCUUCCAAGGCAAGCCUCAGUGCUGGGGACAAAAAUGAUGAUGAGAGUGGAUACCGUUUAGAGGAGAGGCUGAGGCCGGAUGCGGGAGUCCCGCAGAUACUCCGACCGGAAGCUGCUGAAUCGGGGACAUCUGAUUCAGGUCGGUCCCGUGCGGCGGAGACCCUCGAGGAGGAUGCUAACAUGGUUCCUGAUCCUACGGUCGGAUGUGGUGCCGUUUUUUAUAGGGGGACCGUUGUUGCCGGUCCCAAAGGAUCUGAGCUCGGAGCUUUUCAGGAGCAAGAAUUGCCUCUCGUGGACAUUGGUGACAUAAGUGAUUUCAUUUUCGGCUCUCAUUUCUCAUCAGGGGAGCUAAGGGAUGCUCAAGAUGUGAACACCACCAAAGCCGAGGGUCCUCUCAAGGGGGAGGCACGCUUGGCAAUAUUUUUGAUGAUGUUAGGGGGAACAUCGAUCUUGACGAUCCCGGCUCUGUCAAGGAGGACGAGAGGUUCAUGCAGCAGGUGAUAGCUGCUUUAAGUAUAUUUCUUUUAUCCUCGAGCAUCUUUCCUCAUUCUUCUAACUCUUCUGUUUUGCUGUAGUGCAAGGAGAUGUAUGAUCAUGCCCACUUUAGGCUUAACGAGGAGCUUUCGUGCUAUGAGAAGGAUCUUGAGAAGCUAUCCUCGAGACUGCAAGAGUCGGAGGCUCGUUCUGCCCGGAAGGAGAAAGAGUCAGGUGAGCUCCGGGCUACUUUGGAGGGAGCACUUCGAGAAAACGCUCCCUUACCGAGUAGGUAUUUUGUUAAGCAUGAGACUUUCUUUCGCUCCCAUAAUUUGACACUGAAUUAUUCACUUUUCCUUUUGUAGGUCGAGCAAAAUGACUCGCAUAUUGGGCGACUGAAUGUGGAGAUCCUCGAGAUGAGAAAACUAAAUGAGGUAGUGACCUCAGGGUUGGUGUCAACCCAUGGUCUUCGCAAGGAUGCUCGAAAAGAGAUUGCUGUGCUGGUUGCGGCCAAGUCCUAGAUCAAAGGAAAUGUUGCUACUUACCUGAAGGACGCAACCACGGGAAAUCAUAUAGCCCGUGAUGUAUCGAUAAAGGAUGAGCAGAAACUGGAUCGUGCUAUCGAACAUGCUAGGGCAGAGGUGAGGAGGAAGACCUUGGAGGAAAUCGAGGCCGGAGGUGUCGAUCUGUCAGUUGGAAUCGAGGAGGCCCGGGAGCUGGAGAGGAAGUUGGCGCUUUUGAUCGUCCCAGACGAGGAUCCAGGAGAUGGUUCGGAGGAUAGUGGCGAUGAAGUGUAGGCCUUGUGUUGCCUCCCCCCUUUUUUUUCUUUCUUUGUAUUUUUGGCAAUGGAAAAAGGGUUUUUCUUUUUUCUAUCUUUUCAUUAUUUCUACCUCACUGCUUGUGCAGAGUUAGCCUUCAACUUUUGGCGUUAGCUCUUCGAAAACCGUAUUCGGGGCGAUCGGGACCACUAAAUCGGGUCCUGCCCCGAAGUUAGAUCGGCAGCUUCUUUAGGGCCAGUGCUAGUGAUAGCGAGGAGCCCUUGAGGCCUCGCUGCUUAUCGAAUUUCGCAGGAUAGUAGCAUUCGAGCAAUCUGGUGAAGGGACCCCAGGAUGGUCUUGCCAGUACAUUUCCCUAAAAAAAGGGGUGAUGUUAACGCGACCAGAAUUAAUUGGCCCUCUAGGUAGGCGAGAAGCCGCUGCCUUGCCCCAUAUAUUCAUUCAUUUGCCUCUCCAGUGGAUAUUUUGCUACUUUGAGUGACCACAAAACCUGGCGCUCUGUGCUAGUUCUCCCAUUGUUCCAACUAAAAAUCUUUGCUCAAAUUUAUAUCUCCCCCUUCUCAUUUUAUCAUAGCCAUGACUGAUACGUCGAUAUCCGCCCGCCAAAGAGAGGGGAGUUCUGCCCAUGUUCCGCAUUCGGUCGAUGGUACACCGCCGGUGCUUGGUGAGCAGGCCUCGAGAUGCCUUGCCUCAAGAAAGGACAUUACGUUGGAGAGACCUCCCAAUGUUCCAGGACAUCGGGAGCAUGCGUCGAGGUUCGUCUCAUCAGUGGGAGAGGAAAACCUCGAGAUGAUCAGAAAAGAAUGUGGAUGGGGAGAAGGUGUGGUAUUAUAAGUACCUUCCUCUGAGGAGAGCAUCAUGACCUAUGUCGAGAUGUUUUUGAGCGUGUACACGUUGUCACACCUCCUUUUUUACCUACACUCCGGAAAGGGUAUAAGGGAGCUUUUUUCCAACUUAAAGUGACACUCGAAACGAGAUUUAUUAUUUAAAAUUUAGAGUAGCCACUUGAGAUAAUUUUAUGGUAUCCCAAGUCACCGGUUCAAAUCCCGAAUCGAGGAAAAGAUUGACUCUGUUUUACAGUCCGCGAACACAGAAAUCCGAGCAAGGAAUUAUGUUAACCCGGGAGAAGGUGUUAGGCAUUCCCGGAUUCUGUGGUUCUAGCACGGUUGCUCAACUGUUAUAAUUGGCCUAUUAUCUGAUUUUAAUACAUUUUCUAACCUAUGGUACAAUUUAACUUUAUAACCGCUAUUUUUUAGGAGAAAGAUUCAACGUCAUCUAAAACACGUCUUGAACCACGUCACAUAAAUGCAACCGUGGUCCACGACACAUUUUAUCUAACAUUGUUGAGAUUUGGAUUUGGGUCACAUGAAAUGCAUACCCGGAUUUAGGAAAUUAAUUUAAAAAUAGUGCGCCUAAAGCAACUACGAUGUUCUUGAAUUAUUUUACUAAACUACUUUGAGAUUAUGCGUGAAAGGCCUACGAUUAUGAAGCACUUUCACUAAAUGAGAUUUCGUGCUCCUAACCUUUUAACUUCUUAUUUCAUGCAUUUGACCGAGCCCAAUUCCUAAGCAUGUGAGCAAUAUUUCAAUGGCUAAUGGGCUCGAUCUUUACCCUAUUCCGAGGCUCCAAAUAUUAUUCAAAAUAAUUCAUUCCAACCAUCCUUAUAAACACACCAAAAUAAACAUCUAGACCAAUAAACGUUAAGAUCAUUCAAAGAAAACAUGAAUCAAGGGAAGCUAAAAUAACUAGCAAAGUGAACCAGAGUCAUCAAAAGAGCUAAUUAUCGCAUCUUAGUACUGGAUCCUCUGUAAAGCAUUCAGCGACUAUAUCUGCUGUAUAAGGCUCACUUAUGCAUCAGAAAAGCAUGUAUCUACUUACUGUAAAUAAUAUGUGAAGCCUAAGUGAGAUUCAGGAUAGACUUGUGAUGAAACACAUUUUCCAAAACAUUGCCAAAUAAAUAUGGAAUAAGGAACUAGGUAAUCACCAUCAAUAAUGUUAAAACAUUUCUUAUAAACAAUAGAUUUGCCUUACAUUGACAUCAAACUGACAAUCAUAUAAUACAGAUUAUUACAACAAUUCACUCAAACAACUUAUAGGAAAAAAAUCAAAUAGAACAAAGAGAAAGAAAAAAUUGACCUUUAUAUAUCAGAACCUCCGGAUGCGUUACAUGGCCGGAAAACAGAGUCUCAAACAGAAACCAUCGGCAGCGGCAAACCUGAACACGGAUUCGCAGACUCGAACCUCAAAUCGGUGACAAAUCAGAGCGACAAACGAUGACUCCAAAACCUUGUUCUGUUUUCUGAUUUUAUCAAUGGAUAGACCAUUUUCAGGUGUUGUUUUGGACUGAUUUUCGGAAGAAGGGGCGAAGGAGUUGUGUUGUUCUUUUGAAGGUGAGUCCAUGAAUGGAGGAACUAGAUGGAGUUAGGGUUGGUCGCUGGUCUGGUUGGGUGGUUUCCGGCGAGGUGAGGGUCGUUUGGACAGGAACAACAGCGCCUUGGAGAGGAAUGGGACGUUGGUUUAGGCGAGUUUGGUGGUGAAGAGCGUUGCUGCGUGUGGAGGCGUAGUAAAGGCAGCAGCGGCAGAAUGGAGGUUGGCUUGCUGGUGGGUGGGCUAGGUGCUUCUCUAGGGUUUGUGUUUAUGAAGAUGGUGACACUUCUCUUCUGAUGGAAAUGGCUGCUGACCCUAGGGUUCUCUAGUGUUCUUUGUUAGGUGUUUUAUGAAGAAGAAGAGUUGCGGGCUCUCUUGUGUUCUAGCGGCUGAUGCUGCAUACUUUCCUAGGGUUAGCUACUUCCCCUCAUUUCUUUGUAUCUCACUAUCUAUGUAUAUCCAAAACUCUGCCGUGUCAAUUUUCUUGGGGAAUAAGUUAUUCUCCCAAUUCACCAUGUGGUCCCCAUUAUCUGUAGUGUAGUGAGAAGGCGUGGGGUCUAAUUGGUAAGGGUAGUGUAU